AGGGGCGUAGCUCAGUUGGUAGAGCACCGGAUUCCAAAUCCGACGGUCGGGAGUUCGAGUCUCUCCGCCCCUG
rnacentral:tRNA from 1 species